rnacentral:rRNA from 1 species
UUUCUGGUUGAUCCUGCCAGACCUUACUGCUAUCGGGGUGGGACUAAGACAUGCGAGUCGAGCGUCUCUAGCUAUGUUGAGACGCGGCAUACGGCUCAGUAACACGUGGCUAACCUACCCUCAGGACGGGGACAAACCCGGGAAACUGGGGCUAAUAUCCGAUAGGCGAGGAAUCCUGGAAUGGUUCUUCACCCAAAGGACAUUGGAAACAUGCUUUCAAUGUCGCCUGAGGAUGGAGCCGCGUCCGAUCAGGUUGUUGGUGAGGUAAUGGCUCACCAAGCCUAUAACCGGUACGGGCCGUGAGAGCGGUAGCCCGGAGAUGGGUACUGAGACAAGGACCCAGGCCCUACGGGGCGCAGCAGUCGCGAAAACUCCGCAAUGCACGCAAGUGUGACGGGGCUACCCCGAGUGCCUUCCGCUGAGGAAGGCUUUUCCUUGGUAUAACUAGCCAGGGGAAUAAGGAGAGGGCAAGACUGGUGUCAGCCGCCGCGGUAAUACCAGCUCUCCGAGUGGUAGGGAUGAUUAUUGGGCUUAAAGCGUCCGUAGCCGGCUUAGCAAGUUUCCUGUUAAACCCAGCGACUCAAUCGUUGGUCCGCGGGAAAUACUACUAGGCUAGGAGGCGGGAGAGGUCAACGGUACUUCUGGGGUAGGGGUGAAAUCCUAUAAUCCCGGGAGGACCACCAGUGGCGAAGGCGUCAGACUGGAACGCGCCCGACGGUGAGGGACGAAAGCCAGGGGAGCGAACCGGAUUAGAUACCCGGGUAGUCCUGGCCGUAAACGAUGCGUGCUAGGUGUUGGUAUGGCUAUGAGCCGUAUCAGUGCCGUAGGGAAACCGUUAAGCGCGCCGCCUGGGGAGUACGGUCGCAAGAUUGAAACUUAAAGGAAUUGGCGGGGGAGCACCACAAGGGGUGAAGCCUGCGGUUCAAUUGGACUCAACGCCGGGAAUCUUACCGGGGGCGCCAGCAGUAUGAAGGUCAGGCUGACGACCUUACCAGACAGGCUAAGAGGUGGUGCAUGGCCCGUCGCCAGUUCGUGCCGUGAGGUAUCCUGUUAAGUCAGGCAACGAACGAGACCCGCACCUUUAGUUGCCAGCAAGAGGCUUCGGCCUCGUUGGGAACGCUAAAGGGACCGCCAUCUUAUAGAUGGAUGAAGGAGCGGGCCACGGCAGGUCAGUAUGCCCCGAAUCCCCCGGGCCACACGCGGGCUGCAAUGGUAUGGACAAUGGGACGCAACUCCGAAAGGAGAAGCCAAUCUCUAAACCAUAUCUCAGUUGGGAUUGUCGGCUGCAACCCGCCGACAUGAACGUGGAAUCCCUAGUAAUCGUGUGUCAUCAUCGCACGGUGAAUACGUCUCUGCUCCUUGCACACACCGCCCGUCGCUCCAUCCGAGUGUAGGACAAAUGAGAUCUGGUCCUCAGGGUCACAUCGAAUUUGUAUUACGCGAGGAGGGAGAAGUCGUAACAAGGUAACCUCAGUCGGUCAA